rnacentral:lncRNA from 1 species
UGAAUUUCAACAUAUCAUAACUCCUUCAAACUGAAAAUUUAAGCUUUUAUCUCUCUGUGGUGAAAAGGGGCUGAACGAUUUCAUAAUACACAUACACUACCAAACCAAUAUCACAACUCACAUCCGUUCACAACGACACCGGAAGUCGCCACUUUCCCUUCUCUGUGGACUCGCAGCAGUCACCUCGAUCUGGAGGUCAACAAUGGAGGCCGUGCCUUCCGGCUUCGCUGCGCCCAAGCUAGGGUCCCAAAUUUGAGGACAUCUGGGUUAUGACGAUGGAUGGGUUGCGAACUAGAUUGCUCAGUGGGAACAUGUCUCGCAACCUGGAGUUCCCCCAAUUUUUGCCAACCUUCCAACACAGAGGAGAGAGAGUUUUAGGAGUUCAGACAAGUUCCCUUUCAGAAAAGGGGUGGCAAAGGGUUGCUACAUGUGCUUUUAUAUGGAGGGCAGUUUGGUCAUUUCACGUUCACAAGUGAUUUAUCAGAACACAAUUUGUAACCUGAUCAUUUCAGAACACCACUUGUGAAAACUGAUUAUAUCAGCAUAUUUCCCAAAACUUUUUGGGUUUUCUGAUUUUUGAAUUUUUUUAAAUUUUAAAAAAAAAAAAAAAAAAAAACCUCGAAGGCCACAACAAAAGAGACAACAAACAAAGACGCAAAACGCAAAGCAAAACAAAAAUAAAAGGGCCAAGAACAGGAUGACCAGUCAACCAUAAUGAGUAGAUGUACACAUUGACUAGUCAAUCUUAACAUAAAUAACACAUAUCAGCAUUGAGAUGUUUUUCUGCUGUUGUUAAUCUUGAUCAGUAUAAGUUUGCUCUGGCUGGGUGGCAUGUUGCAUGGCCUUUGUAGAGAGGAAGUACGUGCUGCGCAUGAGAAUAGGAAGCAAUGAC